rnacentral:rRNA from 1 species
GACGAACGCUGGCGGCGUGCUUAACACAUGCAAGUCGAACGGAAAGGCCCUGCUUGCAGGGUACUCGAGUGGCGAACGGGUGAGUAACACGUGGGUGAUCUGCCCUGCACUUCGGGAUAAGCCUGGGAAACUGGGUCUAAUACCGGAUAGGAGCCAUUUUUAGUGUGAUGGUUGCAAAGUUUUUUUCGGUGUAGGAUGAGCUCGCGGCCUAUCAGCUUGUUGGUGGGGUAAUGGCCUACCAAGGCGGCGACGGGUAGCCGGCCUGAGAGGGUGGACGGCCACAUUGGGACUGAGAUACGGCCCAGACUCCUACGGGAGGCAGCAGUGGGGAAUAUUGCACAAGGGGCGCAAGCCUGAUGCAGCGACGCCGCGUGGGGGAUGACGGCCUUCGGGUUGUAAACUCCUUUCGCUAGGGACGAAGCUUUUUGUGACGGUACCUAGAUAAGAAGCACCGGCUAACUACGUG